rnacentral:rRNA from 1 species
UACGGAGGGAGCUAGCGUUGUUCGGAGUCACUGGGCGUAAAGGGCGCGUAGGCGGUGCAUCAAGUCAGGCGUGAAAGCCCCGGGCUUAACCUGGGAAUUGCGCUUGAUACUGAUGCGCUAGAGAGCGGGAGAGGAUGGCGGAAUUCCCAGUGUAGAGGUGAAAUUCGUAGAUAUCGGGAGGAACACCAGUGGCGAAGGCGGCGAUCUGGGAAGAUACUGACGCUGAGGUGCGAAAGCGUGGGGAGCAAACAGGG